AGAGUUUGAUCCUGGCUCAGGACGAACGCUGGCGGCGUGCCUAACACAUGCAAGUCGAACGGGACCGGGGGCAACUUCGGUUCAGUGGCGGACGGGUGCGUAACACGUGAGGAACAUGACCUUCGGCGGGGGAUAGCCGGCCCAACGGCCGGGUAAUACCGCGUACGACCUUUCGGGGACAUCCCUGGAUGGUGAAAGCAGCAAUGCGCCGAUGGAGUGCCUCGCGGCCUAUCAGCUAGUUGGUGGGGUAACGGCUCACCAAGGCAACGACGGGUAGCUGGUCUGAGAGGAUGGCCAGCCACAUUGGGACUGAGACACGGCCCAGACUCCUACGGGAGGCAGCAGUGGGGAAUAUUGCGCAAUGGACGAAAGUCUGACGCAGCGACGCCGCGUGUGGGAUGACGGUCUUCGGAUUGUAAACCACUGUCGGGAGGGACGAAUACGCCGCAAGGCGGGUGACGGUACCUCCAAAGGAAGCACCGGCUAACUCCGUGCCAGCAGCCGCGGUAAUACGGAGGGUGCGAGCGUUGUCCGGAAUCACUGGGCGUAAAGGGCGCGUAGGCGGCCUGAUAAGUAGGGGGUGAAAUCCUGCGGCUUAACCGCAGGGCUGCCUUCUAAACUGUCAGGCUCGAGCACAGUAGAGGCAGGUGGAAUUCCCGGUGUAGCGGUGGAAUGCGUAGAGAUCGGGAAGAACAUCAGUGGCGAAGGCGGCCUGCUGGGCUGUUGCUGACGCUGAGGCGCGACAGCGUGGGGAGCAAACAGGAUUAGAUACCCCCGUAGUCC
rnacentral:rRNA from 1 species